AUUGAACAUGAUAUUGGUGACUUCACACGCCAUAAUGGCACUGGUGGCAAGUCCAUCUAUGGGGAGAAAUUUGAAGAUGAGAACUUCAUCCUAAAGCAUACAGGUCCUGGCAUCUUGUCCAUGGCAAAUGCUGGACCCAACACAAAUGGUUCCCAGUUUUUCAUCUGCACUGCCAAGACUGAGUGGUUGGAUGGCAAGCAUGUGGUCUUUGGCAAAGUGAAAGAAGGCAUGAAUAUUGUGGAGGCCAUGGAGCGCUUUGGGUCCAGGAAUGGCAAGACCAGCAAGAAGAUCACUAUUGCUGACUAUGGACAACUCGAAUAAGUUUGACUUGUGUUUUAUCUUAACCACCAGACCAUUCCUUCUGUAGCUCAGGAGAGCACCCCUCCACCCCAUUUGCUCGCAGUAUCCUAGAAUCUUUGUGCUCUCGCUGCAGUUCCCUUUGGGUUCCAUGUUUUCCUUGUUCUCUCCCAUGCCUAGCUGGAUUGCAGAGUUAAGUUUAUGAUUAUGAAAUAAAAACUAAGUAACAAUUGUCAAAAAAAA